UACGGAGGGGGCAAGCGUUGUUCGGAAUCAUUGGGCGUAAAGGGCGCGUAGGCGGCCUCUUAAGUCGAACGUGAAAUCCCCGGGCUCAACCCGGGAACUGCGUCCGAUACUGGGAGGCUUGAAUCCGGGAGAGGGAUGUGGAAUUCCAGGUGUAGCGGUGAAAUGCGUAGAUAUCUGGAGGAACACCGGUGGCGAAGGCGGCAUCCUGGACCGGUAUUGACGCUGAGGCGCGAAAGCCAGGGGAGCAAAGCGGG
rnacentral:rRNA from 1 species